rnacentral:lncRNA from 1 species
ACACACUGUCGUCUCCAGACACCGCCUUGGCCGCUGGUAGAGUCUGCGUGAGGGCAGUCAACACACGGCCAAACUGGAACUCUGCCCCACCACAGGUUUCUGCAGUCUCCAUGCAGCAGACAUCCCUGGGAGCCCCCAGGCUGCUGGGCAGGGCUUCCUCCUCAGUUCAGAUUUCCCUCCACAGAUGGUGCUUUUCCUGAGGUGGAGUGCAGCAGAGGACCCUUCCUGUCACCCUACACUGACGCAGGCCUGGAACUAGAAAAGGGGCUCAGAAUACUCAGGGGGCACAACAGAGCUGCAGCAGGGAGAAGGAAGAGGAGCCCCUCCGGGCCACGCAGGCAGGCCAGCAAUAAUCAGUCUGUGUGCUGGAGGAGGCGAAGGCCAACCAGCAGUUCAUCCGUAUUCGUCGUAUUAGAGUGAACUUAGUGUAGUAGAGUGAAUCCCAGCACUUUGGGAGGCUGAAGCAGGCGGAUCACUUGAGGUCGGGAGUUUGAGACCAGCCUGGCCAACAUGGCGAAACCCCAUGUCUACUAAAAAUACAAAAAUUAGCCAGGCAUGGUGGCACACGCCUGUAAUCCCAGCUACUUGGGAGGCUGAGGCAGGAGAAUUGCUUGAACCCCUGGGAGGCGGAGGUUGUAGCGAACUGAGAUCAGGCCACUGCACUCCAGCCUGAGUGACAGAGUGAGACUCUAGUUUAAAAAAAAAUAAUAAAAGAAAAAAGACAAAGAUUUUUCCAAGUGUACAAAACUGAAAGAAUUCACCACCAGCAGAUGUGCAGUACAAGAAAUGAAGGACAUACUUUAGGAAUAAGGAAAACAGAUCCAAGGUGAAAAUCUGGUUCUAUAUAGUAAACGUGGGAAGAAGAAAACUUCCUUGACCUGAUAAAGCAUCUCAGUGGCUGCAACGAGGAAGGGCCGGAUGGGAGGUGACUGGAUCAUGGGGGCAGUUUCUCAUAGUGUUACACCAUCCCCCUUGGUUGCAACAGUGAGUUUUCAUGAGAUCUGGUCAUUUUAAAAGUGUGUAUCACCAGCCAGGCGUGGUGGCUCAUGCCUGUAAUCCCAGUAGUUUGGGAGGCCGAGGCAAGUGGAUCACUUGAGGUCAGGAGUUCGAGACCAGCCUGGCCAACUUGGCAAAACCCCGUCUCUACUAAAAAUACAAAAUUAGCCAGGCGUGGUGGCGCACGCCUGUAAUCCCAGCUACUCAGGAGGCUGAGACAGGAGAAUCGCUUGAACCUGGGAGGCGGAGGUUGUAGUGAGCCAAUAUCACACCACUGCACUCCAGCCUGGGUGACGGAGUGAGACUCUGUCUAAAACAAAAAAAGUGUGCAUCACCUCCCCUUCUCUCUCUUACUCCUGCUCUGGCCAUGUCAAGUGUUCACUCCCCCUUUGCCUUCUGCCAAGAUUGUAAGUUCCUGAGGCCUCCCCAGAAGCUGAGCAGAUGCCAGCAUCAUGCUUUCUGUACAGCCUGCAGAACCGUGAGCCAAUUAAAACUGUUUUCUUUAUAAAUUACCCAGUCUCAGGUAUUUCUUUAUAGCGGUGUGAGAACGAACUGAUACAGGACGUCCUCUCUCAGUACCUGGACUCAACAUGGAGAUUGUAGCAGCACAGUCAGUCAAGAAAAAGAAAUAAAACACAGACA